UAAAAAAUUAGUUAAACCCAUAACAUUAGUAUGUCAAACUAAAAUUAUCAAUUUUAUUUGAUAUUUUUUAA
rnacentral:tRNA from 1 species